GAUUUUAUUGGAUUUUGUGAUUUAAAACUUAUUAAAACCUCUUGAGAGCCCAAUAAUUGUUAAUGGGCCGUUUGGGAGCCCAACUAAAAUUUUAUGUGAGAUGUUUAGUUCCACAUUAGAAACCAAAAGGGUGUUUGUGAUUUUUAUAUAUUCCUUUGUUCUCAAGCUAGUUGUUUGGAAGAAAAUGAGAGUAAUGCUCUCGUUUAAAUACACACACGCACGGCACGAGCACGAGCCGGGCGGCACGUGGUUCAUACACCCGGUUUAUUUUAUUUUAUUUUUUCGAUUUUAUUUUUAUUUUAAUCCUUAUCUUUAUUUUUAUCCUUAUCCUAAUCUUUAUCCGUAUAAUCUUAGGCUUAUCUUGUUCUACACGGAUUUGACGCGUUGAAACAAGAUUCUCGCCUAGGUUAUAAAUAUGGGGCAAGGUUGCACGAGUUAAUUAAUAACCCGAGCAUACUUAAAGCCUCUUGUCUUUUUCUGCUUUCUGGAUUUUCGCCGAGUUUUCUUUUGCUGGAUCUAAAGCUGGUUGGGUUCAUCUUGCGCCACCUUGAAAGCGUGCCGACGGGGUAGAACGUGAUCGUUGUAUCGCUAGGAGUAAUUGCCGGGAAGCCUCGCACGUAGAGGGGCAAUUUCGCUUCUAGGACAGUACUCUGCACGCCUUGAUCCACAUGCCUUAUCUAAAGCUUUUGUUUAUAGUAUUUGUUAUUUAAUUUCUUUCGUGGAAUAUUUUCGAAACUUGUAAUUUAAAUUUUCGAAUUGGUUUUUAAAGAAUAUUGUAAUAAAAGAUCAGAAAAAAUUUUCCAACACCUUUCCAAUAUAAUAUUCUUUUUUAUAGGAAACAACAGU
rnacentral:lncRNA from 1 species